rnacentral:pre_miRNA from 1 species
AGCUUCCUUAAUCCGUGUUGAAACUCCAUCAAACACCAACCAAUCAGGGCUAAUGAGACUUCCAAGAUAAGUGAAGUG